CAGGAUGAACGCUGGCGGCGUGCCUAAUACAUGCAAGUCGAGCGAACUGAUUAGAAGCUUGCUUCUAUGACGUUAGCGGCGGACGGGUGAGUAACACGUGGGCAACCUGCCUGUAAGACUGGGAUAACUUCGGGAAACCGAAGCUAAUACCGGAUAGGAUCUUCUCCUUCAUGGGAGAUGAUUGAAAGAUGGUUUCGGCUAUCACUUACAGAUGGGCCCGCGGUGCAUUAGCUAGUUGGUGAGGUAACGGCUCACCAAGGCCACGAUGCAUAGCCGACCUGAGAGGGUGAUCGGCCACACUGGGACUGAGACACGGCCCAGACUCCUACGGGAGGCAGCAGUAGGGAAUCUUCCGCAAUGGACGAAAGUCUGACGGAGCAACGCCGCGUGAGUGAUGAAGGCUUUCGGGUCGUAAAACUCUGUUGUUAGGGAAGAACAAGUACAAGAGUAACUGC
rnacentral:rRNA from 2 species